UUCCAUAUAGUCUAGGCGGUUAGAAUAGCUGGCUCUUGCCCAAGCAGACCCUGAAUCGAGUCCCGGUGUGGGAA